UACGGGGGGGGGCAAGCGUUGUUCGGAAUUACUGGGCGUAAAGGGCUCGUAGGCGGCCAACUAAGUCAGACGUGAAAUCCCUCGGCUUAACCGGGGAACUGCAUCUGAUACUGGAUGGCUUGAGUUCGGGAGAGGGAUGCGGAAUUCCAGGUGUAGCGGUGAAAUGCGUAGAUAUCUGGAGGAACACCGGUGGCGAAGGCGGCAUCCUGGACCGGCACUGACGCUGAGGAGCGAAAGCCAGGG
rnacentral:rRNA from 1 species